CCUACGGGGAGCUGCAGUGGGGAAUAUUGGACAAUGGGGGGAACCCUGAUCCAGCCAUGCCGCGUGUGUGAAGAAGGCCCUCGGGUUGUAAAGCACUUUCAGUGAGGAAGAACGCCUGGUGGUGAAUACCCAUCAGGAAAGACAUCACUCACAGAAGAAGCACCGGCUAACUCCGUGCCAGCAGCCGCGGUAAUACGGAGGGUGCUAGCGUUAAUCGGAAUUACUGGGCGUAAAGCGCGCGUAGGUGGCUUGAUAAGCCGGUUGUGAAAGCCCCGGGCUCAACCUGGGAACGGCAUCCGGAACUGUCAAGCUAGAGUGCAGGCGAGGAAGGUAGAAUUCCCGGUGUAGCGGUGAAAUGCGUAGAGAUCGGGAGGAAUACCAGUGGCGAAGGCGGCCUUCUGGACUGACACUGACACUGAGGUGCGAAAGCGUGGGUAGCAAACAGGAUUAGAUACCCGGGUAGUC
rnacentral:rRNA from 1 species